rnacentral:rRNA from 1 species
GUGGGGAAUAUUGGACAAUGGGGGGAACCCUGAUCCAGCCAUGCCGCGUGUGUGAAGAAGGCCUUUUGGUUGUAAAGCACUUUAAGCGAGGAGGAGGCUACCGAGAUUAAUACUCUUGGAUAGUGGACGUUACUCGCAGAAUAAGCACCGGCUAACUCUGUGCCAGCAGCCGCGGUAAUACAGAGGGUGCAAGCGUUAAUCGGAUUUACGGGGCUUAAAUCGCGCGUAGGUGGCAAAUUAAGUCAAAUGUGGAAUCCGCGAGAGUAACUUGGGAAUUGCAUUCGAUACUGGUAGGCUAGAGUAUGGGAGAGGAUGGUAGAAUUCCAGGUGUAGCGGUGAAAUGCGUAGAGAUCUGGAGGAAUACCGAUGGCGAAGGCAGCCAUCUGGCCUAAUACUGACACUGAGGUGCGAAAGCAUGGGGAGCAAACAGGAUUAGAUACCCUUGUAGUCA